rnacentral:rRNA from 1 species
ACAGCAGCAGCCGCGGUAAAACAGAGGGUGCGAGCGUUAAUCGGAUUUACUGGGCGUAAAGCGUGCGUAGGCGGCUUCUUAAGUCGGAUGUGAAAUCCCUGAGCUUAACUUAGGAAUUGCAUUCGAUACUGGGAAGCUAGAGUAUGGGAGAGGAUGGUAGAAUUCCAGGUGUAGCGGUGAAAUGCGUAGAGAUCUGGAGGAAUACCGAUGGCGAAGGCAGCCAUCUGGCCUAAUACUGACGCUGAGGUACGAAAGCAUGGGGAGCAAACAGGAUUAGAUACCCCUGUAGUCCCUGUCUCUUUACC